AUUGAACGCUGGCGGCAGGCCUAACACAUGCAAGUCGAGCGAGCGGCGGACGGGUGAGUAAUGUGUGGGGAUCUGCCUUAUGGCGGGGGAUAACUACUAGAAACGAUAGCUAAUACCGCAUACCCUCAGAUGACCCCAUAUGGGAUUAGCUUGUAGGUGGGGUAACGGCUCACCUAGGCGACGAUCCCUAGCUGGUCUGAGAGGAUGACCAGCCACACUGGAACUGAGACACGGCCCAGACUCCUACGGGAGGCAGCAGUGGGGAAUAUUGCACAAUGGGCGCAAGCCUGAUGCAGCCAUGCCGCGUGAAUGAAGAAGGCCUUCGGGUUGUAAAGUACUUUCAGUGGGGAGGCGUUAACCACAGAAGAAGCACCGGCUAACUCCGUGCCAGCAGCCGCGGUAAUAC
rnacentral:rRNA from 1 species